AUGGGUUAAGACAUUUGAAUCCGAAGAAAUUUGAAUACUGCUUACCAUACGUAUAUAAUCAAUCCCUCAAAGGAAGAUGAGAGUAUUAGUCUAAAUAUCGUGUAUCCUCCAUUGGAACCAAACCCUGUUGUCACCAAGUUUGAUUGGGAGUUGGAUGAUCUUGAGAAACUCACUGGUCUGCUGAUUGAUGAAAAGAAAUUGACUGAAGAUCAGAAGGAUGCCUUCAAGAAACAUGUCGAGGAAAAGGUUGAAGAAGCAAAAAGAGCUAUCCAGCUUGCAAAGGAAAAGCGAGAAGAAACGUGUGCAGAGAUAAUUCGUGCAUAUGAGAAGAUGGAGUUCUAUAAAUUCAAGUCUCCAUUCAUUAACCGGUACUACGGAAGCGCACAUCACCUACUUUGACUAAAAUUCCAAGCGUACAAAUGUUUUGUUUUCUAGAAUUUGAUUAUGAAGCAAUGAUUCUAAGUUCUAACUAAAGUAUGUGAAAUUGUUCAUGUUCGCAUCUCUA